CAAUGCAUUGCGUCCGUCCCCAUUCAAAGUCAAUGGGGAUCAGUCAACGGACGGAGGUAGUGGGCACGAGGCGUUAGUCAAUGGGGAUCAGUCAACGGACGGAGGUAGUGGGCACGAGGCGUAAGAGUGGAACAGGUAGGAAUCAAAUGGAUUUCCCGUACAUAGGGUAACCAGACGUCCUCUUUUGCCCGGACAUGCCCUCUUUUUGAGGCAUUUAAAAGAAAAUGUGUGGCGGAAUCGUCCGGGAUUUUAUUAAAGCCUCAUACAUGUUCACAUUGAAUUGGCGUUGCGUUUCUCUGGGUCGUUAACAAACUAGUUAGGCUACGCCCUCCCCUACUCAGUUCUGUUCGCUUUGCAUAGGUGGAAGUGAGUAGGGGGAGUGGUUAAGUAGAGCCUUCAGAUUGGACGGUUUGACUUACUUAGUUACCGUCAUGUUUUGUAUAUAUUUGCUUUACCAUUAUUGUUUUGUAGGGGCAAACAUUAACAAAUUUCUCCUACAGGGGAUUGAUAAAGUUCUAUCUAUUGAACAGAAAGAAACACUUGGUCAUACAACACUGUACCACAGCAUUGGCCUACUGAAUGCCAAAGAUAUAUGUUAAGCAUUGGACUGAAUGCCACAUAAAUAUAUAGUUAUAUAUAUUUAUGCUUUUUUGCAAAAGUUAUGCUUUUGCAACGUUCAAAAGUUCAGGGAAAAGUAUAUGUCUCUACUGGUGUUGCUUAAGCCAAUAGCCUUUUGCGGCAGUGUUGUUUCUGAAUAUUAGUGUUAAGGGCCAAUAAUGCUUACUAUCAUACAUUAGUCACCAUGUCACCUUUGUAUGCAGUUACAUGUUAAUAUCCCCCCCCCCCUCAACAAAAUCUCACUCUUAACUGUACAUUAGAGUGAUAUGUUGAAAGUAUUAUCAAUAGCCUAAUAAUGACAGUAAGAAAAAAACAUGGUGAUCUGUUCAAGACUUUGGAAAGUUUGGGACUUGGACUUGGACUCGACUUGACUUUGGUGUGACUUUGACUUGGACUCGACUUGCCUUUCCCUGUCUUGACUUGGGACUUCACUCGGACUUGACUGCUAAGACUUGGGCUCACUUGGGACUUGCCAAACAGUGACUUUGUCCCAUCUCGGGUAUUGGCUUUAUCAUAUCCGGUCAAUAGGGUGCAAUAAUUCCCAUCACAAUGGCUUCAGAAAGCAGGCUUCACACACAGACAAAACUAAGUAAUUCUUCAUGGACUAGCCUAGCGGGGUUUUAUUUUAUUAAAAGACACGAAAGAUAACCUUGUGGUUCAUCCUGGACGGGUUCAUAUUUUCAGUUUCUCGCUGAAGAUCAGUUUGGCCUCGCUCCCUUAAAACUACCAAAUCCCAGAAAGACGACAAACAGCACUCAUAACCACUUAAGUGCACCAAUUCCAAAUGCUUUAUCUGAAAUUCACUGAAUAACAAUGUAAAAUAAGACGUUUGCGCUGAAGACUUUUCAAAGAGGGAUAUAUGUUUUUGCUUUUCUUCCGAUUGGAUUCAUCAAUAGCAAAGUGAGCCAGAGCUUCACUCCUUCUUUGAUUCUGAGGAGAGUUGUUUACAGCGUAAGGCUUAUAGACGUUCCUAAAACAUUCUCUCCCUAGCGCUGAUUGGUCCAUCUGCUUUUUAGGUUUUGAAAGUUGGUUCAUGGGAGUGAGGUCAGACAGUUAAUUAGCAGGAAACUGAAGAAUAAACUCGCAAGUUCAGGAUUAUCUCAAAAGGUUGGGGAAAAGAUCAGACCCAGGCGGCAGGAUUGACCAGACAAGGGGGCAUCAGAAAUGACAGAGGGCACAACUGUCCCCCUCAGUCUUAUGAAUCUGUCUAGCAACAAGAAUAUGGGCUGUCUCGCCACACUAGUGCCGUAAUACGCUGCGUAUGACCACAGCAGACACUGGUCAGCCUGCCCACCCUCAUUGAUGUAAUGCAAAACAAGCACCAAUUCUACCGAAUGAAACAACGUUGACAUCACUGUAGCAUAGCCAAUUGCUCCCCAACUCCACCUGGGUGACUUCUAUUGGGCUCCUCCCGAUAAAGGGUGGUGAUGUUAGAGAUCCGGGUAGUGUAAAGGUUGCAGUAAAUUAACAUGAUAAUAGUGCUCAACUGCCAUGCAGGAGAUGUCUCCCCAAUGGUGUGUGGUGAUUGCUGGUUUAACCUGGCCACAUUGAUUACUCAAUAUGUAUGUUAUAAGUAUGUAAAUUAUGCAACAGGCAUGCCGCCUCACCCAGCCGCAGAGUCCAAUCAGACUCGGCCAGGUGAGGCUGCUUAAACCAGCCAUCAUCCACACACACUCCCACAAUCACACCCUCUUCUUGGCAGCAAAGCCAAUGAUGAAAUAAUGUGUACGCUUGUCACUGACAUUUUCCACACAUUUCCAAAAAGCAACAAAACAAUACAUGCUCAAACAGGCUGACUCUUCUGACCCUGACACCUUGAAGAUGUGAUGAACCUCCUCAGCAGUCCCUCCUUCCGUUCCCCAUGGAAUAUGCUUGUAAGGUUCCUCCUUCCUUCCUUGAAUGCCAGAUUUAUACUCGCUACUCCAUGCCGUUUGCUUGGAGAGGGAGUUGGCUGGGUUCAAGGACAUGGAUUUCUCCCACAAUUCUUCAAAAUCAUUCAGGUCGCAGUUGUUCAACCCAAAUGUGGGCAUUGCGGAUGACUGGGAUCCCAGUGGAGGGAUCAGUUGCUUCAGCUUGAAGUAACUUGUUAGUGGGGGUUGAGCUAUGGAGGUAGAUUUGUGUCUUUAUUAUGCAAUCAAAAAUAAUAGGUUUGAGAGCAAAACUUUCCACACUGCAAUCAAAAAAUAGGUUUGAGAGCAAAACUUUCCACACUGCAAUCAAAAAAUGUUUUAUUGCAAGAUAAAUGAAUGUGAUAAAAAAAAUAUUAAUGGGAAUCCAAAAGUUUUGUUUGCAAAUCCAAAAGUUUUGUUUGCAAAUCCAAAAGUUUUGUUUGCGAAUCCAAAAGUUUUGUUUGCGAAUCAAAAAGUUUUGCUUGCGAAUCCAAAAGUUUUGCUUGCGAAUCCAAAAGCUUUGCUUGCGAAUCCAAAAGCUUUGCUUGCUGUUGAGCUGAAUCUCAUGGGCGGGACCUACGCCGAAAGAUGUAAGACACGUCUCUAUUUGCCAGUCUCGAUCGGAGUGAUAGCUUGGCAACAUCCACAGUUAGUAACGAGAAAGGGAGCUCCCGAUUCCCGCUCUGUCUCAUCAUGGACUUCAAAACUCCCUCUCUCGUUACUAACUGUGGAUGUUGCCAAGCUGUCACUCCGAUCGAGACUGGCCAAUAGAGACGUGUCUUACAUCUUUCGGCGUAGGUCCCGCCCACGAGAUUCAGCUCAACAGCAAGCAAAGCUUUUGGAUUCGCAAGCAAAGCUUUUGGAUUCGCAAGCAAAACUUUUUGAUUCGCAAACA
ensembl:lncRNA